rnacentral:rRNA from 1 species
AGCGGCGGGACGGGUAAGUAACACGUGGGUAACCUACCUAUAAGACUGGGAUAACUUCGGGAAACCGGAGCUAAUACCGGAUAAUAUUUCGAACCGCAUGGUUCGAUAGUGAAAGAUGGUUUUGCUAUCACUUAUAGAUGGACCCGCGCCGUAUUAGCUAGUUGGUAAGGUAACGGCUUACCAAGGCGACGAUACGUAGCCGACCUGAGAGGGUGAUCGGCCACACUGGAACUGAGACACGGUCCAGACUCCUACGGGAGGCAGCAGGC